rnacentral:rRNA from 1 species
AGAUAAUAGAUACCCAGGUAGUCCACGCCGUAAACGGUGGGUGCUAGGUGUAGGGGGUAUUCCACGCCCUCUGUGCCGCAGCUAAACGCAUUAAGCACCCCGCCUGGGGAGUACGGCCGCAAGGCUAAAACUCAAAGGAAUUGACGGGGGCCCGCACAAGCAGCGGAGCAUGUGGCUUAAUUCGACGCAACGCGAAGAACCUUACCAAGGCUUGACAUACACCGAAAACUCGUAGAGAUACGGGGUCCGCAAGGGCGGUGUACAGGUGGUGCAUGGUUGUCGUCAGCUCGUGUCGUGAGAUGUUGGGUUAAGUCCCGCAACGAGCGCAACCCUCGUUCUAUGUUGCCAGCGCGUUAUGGCGGGGACUCAUAGGAGACUGCCGGGGUCAACUCGGAGAAGGUGGGGACGACGUCAAAUCAUCAUGCCCCUUAUGUCUUGGGCUGCACACAUGCUACAAUGGCCGGUACAAAGGGCUGCUAAACCGCGAGUGAGCGAAUCCCAAAAAGCCGGUCUCAGUUCGGAUUGGGGUCUGCAACUCGACCCC